GACGAACGCUGGCGGCGUGCCUAAUACAUGCAAGUAGAACGCACAGUUUAUACCGUAGCUUGCUACACCAUAGACUGUGAGUUGCGAACGGGUGAGUAACGCGUAGGUAACCUGCCUGGUAGCGGGGGAUAACUAUUGGAAACGAUAGCUAAUACCGCAUAAUAUUAAUUAUUGCAUGAUAAUUAAUUGAAAGGUGCAAUUGCACCACUACCAGAUGGACCUGCGUUGUAUUAGCUAGUAGGUGAGGUAACGGCUCACCUAGGCGACGAUACAUAGCCGACCUGAGAGGGUGAUCGGCUACACUGGGACUGAGACACGGCCCAGACUCCUACGGGAGGCAGCAGUAGGGAAGCUUCGGCAAUGGACGAAAGUCUGACCGAGCAACGCCGCGUGAGUGAAGAAGGGUUUCGGAUCGUAAAGCUCUGUUGUAAGAGAAGAACGGGUGUGAGAGUGGAAAGUUCACACUGUGACGGUAUCUUACCAGAAAGGGACGGCUAACUACGUG
rnacentral:rRNA from 1 species